UUCUUCCAAACCUGACACUGUUAUUUUCUAUAAUGUAUGUUUUCGGUUAUUUUUUUCCAAUGUCUAAAGGUAUAAUCCUAGUUCAAUUAUUUCAUACCAGCUGAAAAUUCAUCACUUAUCAGGGUAAAGUAAGAAUAUAUCUAUUCAAAAUGAAUAACGAUUGUUGUAUUUGUUUCACACGCCAAAUUGCAUUAACUAAAGAUAACUCAUCGGGUCAUUUAAGUACGUCUAAAAACGAUAUGUUCAAUAUUUUCAAAUUACCAGAGGAGUUUCGAGCUCCACAAUCGUUAUGUGUUCAAUGCUCAGAGAAGCUUUAUCUGUCCUACACAUUUUUCAAUCAAAUUAUUCAGUGGGUAGAACAGCGGAAAAUUUCGUUAGUAACCGCAUCAAAACUCACAGAUUCACCUAUUGACAAUUGCCCCAAUAAUUUGGAUAAUGAUUCCGUUUCCAAAUUACAGAGUCCUCUUAAGCUAGUUCAUGGUGAAUUGUCCGAGUACUGCCACUGUUGUGAAUCAUGUCGAAAGAUUUUCAAAACCAAUAGGGGAUUGCAGCAACAUUUGGUUUAUUGUCAGUAUUCGCAAUCGAAACGAAACUUCAACUGUAAGCUGUGUAGUCGAGAUUUUCAAACUAAUGCCAACUACAUUAAUCAUAUGAAGUAUCACCAAGAUUUUAUGUGUAUUUUUUGUAACCGCGGUUGGAUCACAGAAGUCAAACUUCUCGAACAUGUCCAGAGUGUACAUAGUGACCGUCUAUUUCGUUGUGAGAAAUGUUCAAGAACCGAAAGAUUACGGAAAAAUUUGAACCGUCAUCGACGAGUGGCACACAAUACUGAGCAAAUCGAACUGUACUGUGGCCAUUGCUCGUCUGGGGUUAUAUUCGGAAAUAUCGUAGCGUUGAACGAGCAUAUCCACACUGUACAUAAAUCUUUGGAUCAUCCAAGUGGUGUUUACGAGGAGCUGUUACAUGAAUCUCUUUUUCCAAAGGACUUAAGUUUAGUGUUAGAGACAGAAUUCGAAAAAUCUAAUCAAGAUGAGAAUCAAGAAAUGUUUCUCCGACAUUUAAAUCUUGUUAGAAAUAGUGCCAAUGCAACACACGAUGCUACAGAAACGUCACAGAACCAUAAUAAAAUGAUUCUAGAGGAAUUUUUGGAUGAGGCUUUUGAGAAUGAUCAGAUUUGGACCAAAUAUAUUGAAGGAGGAGAAGAAUAUCUCAUAGACAAUUACGAUUUUUAUUUAGACGGAUCAUCUGGAAACAAGUUUAGUAAAUAUAAGUGUCCAAAAUGUGAGGAAAACUUUGACAAACAGCAAAGACUGACAAUACAUUUGGCCGAAACUCAUCAAGUUGCUUGUUUAAUUUGUAAUGAUUGUGGGGCUAACUUCAAUAAAAUACGCAACUAUAGAAGUCAUCGUCAAGAGCAUAUGAAAGAUAACACCCGGUUCAGAGAAAAUAUUAUCCCGGAAGCCGAAGAGGCAUUAGCCUUAGUACAGCAGGAAGAGAAGAAGUAUGACAUUCGUGAAACAGCCAGCAGUUAUAUCUACAUCUGCAAAUUAUGCGAUCGAAAGUUUCUCAAAAAAUGUAAUCUUGAAAAGCAUCUAUGCAAAUUUUACUCCAGAAGUAAGCAGGUGGCUAUGGAAACGGAGCACUUUAUACCUGAUUCAACUGUUUCCGAAAGCCUCUUCUGCACGUUGUGUGAUAAAAAGUUCACUUCAGUUUCCGGAUUGAAAUACCACCUAAAACGACACACAGACGUUAAAGCAUUUCCUUGUUUGUACUGCAACAAAACAUUCACCGCAAAUUCAAAUCUAAACGCUCACAUUCGUAAUGUUCACUGUGAACAUAAAAGCCAUGUUUGCUCGGAAUGUAACGCACGAUUUGCUUGCAAGGAUCAUCUCACGAAACACAUUCGUUCCAAGCAUCGCCAGGAACGCCCUUUUCUAUGCCCGGAGUGUCCGAAACGAUACUUUCAGAAGUCUCAUUUAAACGAUCAUGUUACUGCUACACAUAUGAGUUAUAAGGCGUUCAGCUGUGAGUUAUGCAGCACAUCAUAUAGUUGCAGAGGAUCUUUGAGACGUCACGUGGCGAGGACCCACAAAAAUAAUUAAAUAUUGAAUUGUUAUUCCAUUUCAGUGAAUCUAAAAAUCAGCCAGCAAAUAAAUACAAUAAAUAUAAGAGUUACAGUACAGUUCUUGACUCGUUACUCUAAAACAUUAAAUAUGGUAUUAUUCUGAUUUUCCUCUUCUUGUCGAAUACCGCAACGAAGAUCUUCGCCCAAGUGAUAUGAUGGAUUGCAAUGAUGUGUAGUGUAGUGUAGUGAUUUUAUCGAAGUCGGUAAAUGAAAUUUUCAAAUCAAACUUCGUGCAAAGUUAAAAACAGCAUUUAAAAUAGCAGCCCGAUCAGCAGUAUCUGCGAAAAAUAUGUUUCAAUUUUUUUGCAAUUUUUUCAUGUUUUCGAUAAUCUACAUAUUUAUUACAUUGGUAAAAUCAUGCGUUUAAUAUAAAAUAAAAUUGUUUGUCCAUGGCGUAUUUUACAUAAAAUACCUAAUAGACGUAAAAUUUGAUCCGCAAAAACUUAGAACUGCGCAUAUAUUCGAAGGCUCGCCAGAAAAACUAGCAUUUUACUAUGACUGAUAUGCUUUCUAAAUGUUCUAUGCAAAACGCAAAUUUAUGAUUUGAUUGCAAAUCAUCUUUAGAUUCGAAAAUAAAUUUGUUGGAAAUCGGUUAAACGAAUCGAAACCACGGCAUUUCGUCUAUUCGUCCGUAAACGAGAAUGGGACUUUUCGUUCGUACGAAUGAUGUCCGAAUACACGUAUCGUUUGAAGCUACACACUUAUUUUCGGAUUUUCAGUUCGGUAAUAUUUUUACUGGAAAAUUCGUUAUUUUUAUCAAAAUUACCGAUUAGUCUGCUGUUCUUAUUCAGCAUAUUUUGUUACCGAAAUUCAGCUCUUCAAAAACAUGUACUGAAAAUUUGGCAAUUAUCUACCGAACUGUCUUCACUUUGAAACUAUUCGGUAAAUUUAAUAGAAAUCGUGCUGAUCGAUCAGUAAUUUAUCGAUUUUUAGCGAAUUGUUCGGUAAAGAGUACCGAAUCAAUGUGCAAAACGCAAGCACAUAGCACGCCAUAUUGGUUUUUGUAUACUGUGAUCGAAGUGAAUAAAAUGGAAUAUAUAUUGAACAAAAUCCAAUCUUUAGAUGUAUCGUUAUUCGAACUAUUCAGUUUCACAAUAAAUGGAUGCAAUCACUUGUUUUUUUCUGUCGAAAGGCAGUUUCCGGUUAUGUAGAAGACCUUGGACGCCAUGUCUCUUUACAUAUCCGAAAUCGCGAUUUUCUUCCAGACGCUGUACAUUGCGACUGUACAUUUUCGAAAUGUAAUAUGCGUUAUAGUCGGUUCUGGUCUUCAAAAAGACAUAUUUUUGGAUAAACAUCCCCGAGAACCGCCAUUUCAAUCUGCAUUUGAAUAUGCGGAACUAGCGGAUAAUGAGUCAGCAGAUUCAAUUAAUGAAGACACUAAACAUACCGAAACAGAUGAAAUUAAAAAUUCUCGUGGCGCUAAAAGAACAAAGGAUGCAGAUACAGAAAAAAUAAACCCGUUAAACGGUAUAAUUCAGUGGUUAAAGGUUGAUGACCCGUUUCCUGAGGUUAAUUCCUAUAUCGCGAUACUACUUUACAAAGCUGAAGGAGGAGCUAUUAUUUGGCGCGAUCUUAAAAUUCCAGUAGAGGGAGAUAUUAUGUACUGCUUCGGAUUACUGUGCCAGUGUUUUGAAGUAUUCAACUGUAAAAGCCAUCCUGCAGAUAAACUGUUUUAUUUGUUCAUUAUGAACACUUUAUAUGGUAUUGGAACUCAUACUACAACGGGUGAAAACUUUCGCCGAAGCUAUGAGAUGAAAGAAAAUUAAUGUUUUUUAAAUCAAAAAUAUAACGGACGUUGAGCAAUCAGUGGUUCAAGAUAUUUUUUCCGAAAUUUCAAAUGAAAUAAUUUAAUUCAAAAUUAAUUUUCUGCUGCACUGAACUGUAAAAAUUACUGAUUCAAUCAGUUGGCUUAACCGCUGGUUCGGUAACUUUUCAACGUAAAACAAAUGCUGACUAAACAGCAAUAUUUAUUGAAUCCUCAUUAACAUUUGCUGACCAGUACAGUUAAAAAUGAAAAUUCGAACAAACUUCAGUUUUACUGAACCUUCGUCAAUUAAUAAAUUACUGAACAGAUUACCGUACGUUCAGCUGUGUAAAAGUCGGUAAAAUAUUGCUGAAGUCGGUAAAGAA